UUGGCGGUUUAUUUAUAUUAAGUCUAUAUUCAAUUGUGGAUUGAUGUUCAAACCGAACAGACGUUUCAUUUACUUUAUUUGCUGUUUUCUAUUUUGUAUCAUUUGUAUUGGAGGAAUUCCACGAUUGUUUCAGGUAUUUGACAGAGUUCUGCAUAUGAUGUAGAUACACAUAGAGGCAUAACCUUUGUACCUCAUACGAGGGUUUCUUUUGAUGCUUCAUUGAAUAAUAAAACUAUCCAGAACCCUAUACAUAGUCAACUAUUAUUCACGCCCAGAUAGUGCGACUACAUUUUGGCGCUCACGUUAUUUGGAGGAUAGUGAAGGAUUCACGACAAAACAUCUAGAUAGGAAAGAUCAGAAAAGGAUCCGUUGGCUCCGACCGGAAUAUUCCAAGUUAGAGAAAAUAGUGAACCGUAGCUCCGGCCGGCGUAUUCUAGAAUUCGAAACCGAGAUUGACCAUUGUUGACAUUUCGAUUUCCGGUACUCGAGUACGAAAACAACACAUAGAAAUUUGUGCACAAGUUCAAGAAAGGACCUGAUAUUUUGUGUUUA